rnacentral:rRNA from 1 species
UGGGGAAUUUUUGACAAUGGGGGAAACCCUGAUCAAGCAACGCCGCGUGGAUGAUGAAGUAUUUCGGUACGUAAAAUCCUUUCGACAGGGAAGAAGCCUUCGGGUUGACGGUACCUGUAGAAGAAGCCCCGGCUAACUCCGUGCCAGCAGCCGCGGUAAUACGGGGGGGGCAAGCGUUGUUCGGAUUUACUGGGCGUAAAGGGCGCGUAGGCGGUUCGUUAAGUCGGAUGUGAAAACUCUGGGCUCAACCCAGAGCGUGCAUCCGAUACUGGCAGACUAGAGUGCGAGAGGGGAAAGCGGAAUUCCUGGUGUAGCGGUGAAAUGCGUAGAUAUCAGGAGGAACACCGGUGGCGAAGGCGGCUUUCUGGAUCGCAACUGACGCUGAGGCGCGAAAGCUAGGGGAGCAAACAGG